rnacentral:rRNA from 1 species
AUUGACAAAAAGUAAUAGCUAUAGAGUCACGAAUGGGGGCGAGCUAAGCAAGAUAUGUUUUGUAUACCAAAUACGUUGUAUAGUAUUUAGAAAAUAUGUGUUUAGGAGUGAUAGGCCUUUCAAGCUCUCUGAUAACUUGAUUCAUAUGAAAGGUAUUAAGUACAUAAAUAUAUUUAAAAAGUUAAGCUUUUAAAUAUUUAUUAAAAAUAUUGUUUGAUUGAACAUAGUAUAAUAACUAGUUAUUAUUAAACUUAAUAUUACAACAUACGUUUUUAUAGUAAAUAAUAUGACAAUUAAGAUUAUCUUUACUAGUUGAAAAUGUUAAUAUUAGUAGUAUAAGUAAAUGUAUUAAAGGAACUCGGCAAAUAACUUCUCAACUGUUUAUCAAAAACAUAGCUAUAUGAAUUAAUAUAUAGUUAUUUCUGCUCCAUGAUUAUUAAAUAGCCGCAGUACUCUGACUGUGCAAAGGUAGCAUAAUCAGUUGGCUCUUAAUUAGGGUCUGGUAUGAAAGAAAAUAUGGGUAGUAACUGUCUUAAUACAUUUAUUUGAAAUUAGUAAGCAAGUGCAAAUACUUGCAUGCAUAAAAAAGACGAGAAGACCCUAGAAACUUGAAAUAAGUUUUGUUGGGGCGACAAAAUUACAUUUAACUAAUUUUAUAAGACAUGACACGAAGUUGAAAGAGUAAGUUACUCUAGGGAUAACAGCAUAAUUUUAAUAGUUUGUGACCUCGAUGUUGGACUAGGUAUUAUAUCUUUAAGGCAAAGUUAUAAAAGGCUCUGUUCGAGCGAAUACACCUACAUGAUCUGAGUUCAGACCGG